rnacentral:rRNA from 1 species
GACGAACGCUGGCGGCGCGCUUAACACAUGCAAGUCGAACGGAAAGGCCCUGCUUGCAGGGUACUCGAGUGGCGAACGGGUGAGUAACACGUGGGUGAUCUGCCCUGCACUUCGGGAUAAGCUUGGGAAACUGGGUCUAAUACCGGAUAGGAACCAUCUUUAGUGUGGUGGUUGGAAAGUUUUUUCGGUGUAGGAUGAGCUCGCGGCCUAUCAGCUUGUUGGUGGGGUAAUGGCCUACCAAGGCGGCGACGGGUAGCCGGCCUGAGAGGGUGUACGGCCACAUUGGGACUGAGAUACGGCCCAGACUCCUACGGGAGGCAGCAGUGGGGAAUAUUGCACAAUGGGCGCAAGCCUGAUGCAGCGACGCCGCGUGGGGGAUGAAGGCCUUCGGGUUGUAAACUCCUUUCGCUAGGGACGAAGCUUUGUUGUGACGGUACCUAGAUAAGAAGCACCGGCUAACUACGUG